UGGGGAAUUUUGGACAAUGGGCGAAAGCCUGAUCCAGCAAUGCCGCGUGUGUGAAGAAGGCCUUCGGGUUGUAAAGCACUUUUGUCCGGAAAGAAAUCCUUGGCUCUAAUACAGUCGGGGGAUGACGGUACCGGAAGAAUAAGCACCGGCUAACUACGUGCCAGCAGCCGCGGUAAUACGUAGGGGUGCAAGCGUUAAUCGGAAUUACUGGGCGUAAAGCGUGCGCAGGCGGUUUGCUAAGACCGAUGUGAAAUCCCCGGGCUCAACCUGGGAACUGCAUUGGUGACUGGCAGGCUAGAGUAUGGCAGAGGGGGGUAGAAUUCCACGUGUAGCAGUGAAAUGCGUAGAGAUGUGGAGGAAUACCGAUGGCGAAGGCAGCCCCCUGGGCCAAUACUGACGCUCAUGCACGAAAGCGUGGGGAGCAAACAGGAUUAGAUACCCUGGUAGUCCACGCCCUAAAACGAUGUCAACUAGUUGUUGGGGAUUCAUUUCCUUAGUAACGUAGCUAACGCGUGAAGUUGACCGCCUGGGGAGUACGGUCGCAAGAUUAAAACUUAAAGGAAUUGACGGGGUCAUAGCUGUUUCCU
rnacentral:rRNA from 1 species